rnacentral:snoRNA from 13 species
CUGCAGCUUAUUAAGCCGACUGGUUCUGCUGUGGUGCGGUUCUGGUGUGCAGAGGCUGCAGACAGUGACUCUCUGGUUGUGUAUGUCCUCAGCUGGGAGGUGCUGAGUGCUUUAAGGGACCACUGAGACAAAC